GCAAAAGAGAUUUGAAGAUAACUUUAGGAAAAUUCCCCACCCUCUCGAGAGGGGGGAAAGCAAGAAAAAGAGGAGGAAACCAGCAUUUGACUGAAAAUGACCCUUACCAAAACCAAUCUGAAAUCAAUAGAGGACAAAAAAUUACAUGGCAUUCUUUCAUGUACUUGUUUUGAUAUCUCUGUGAAUGAGGAAAAAAAACAAAAGACUCUGACAGCAAGAGUCCUUUGAUGGCUCAACAAAUAAAGCAAAGAGCCCAGUAGUAUUAAAUGUUGCAUGUGCAGCAAUUAAUUAGGAAUCUUGUUUUAACUAGCUGUUUCUUCCAUCAUAAGCUUGCCAAGCUCCUACUUUUUUCUCCCAGAAGCAACAAAUUAUAAGAACUCCGUGCUGUCUGUUUCACAGCAACAAAGAAACUUGUUCUUCGCUUUUCUUUUACUACAAAUGGAACUCUUCAAAGGGCUACCCGCCACUUGUAAUUAAUAUCACCCUAAACCCAUAAUUCAUCGUCUUUUCUGUUCAAACUUCAAAAACACUGCUUUUUCCACCUAUUCCUGCAUAACAAUUUCCAUCCACUUCUAACUAACACAAACAGAAUUCAUGGGAAAAAUUGAUACUCUAUGUAGACGACAAAACCCUGAGAAAGUAUUUAGUUUUUUGGAAUUUUAAUUGGAGUUUUAAUGCAGUAUCCAACAUCUCAGACACAAAAACUGAAGAAAAACUUAAUUACGAGGUUUAUAUGCAGAUCAGAAUAACAAAACCUGGAAGCACGUGAAAUGGUCAAACAGAAUGAGUAUGCAACAAUAAUAGCCAAACAAACACAUGAAAACAAGGUUGCCUUUAGUUUAUGCUUCAUGUUUCUGUCACCCACAUUACAAUUUGAAACACCCAUGUUCCUUUAACCAAGAUCAUUCGAAAAUAAGUAUGUAUUUAUGUAUGUACGCAACAGACAAGCUUGAAAAUGAAAAAGAAAACCGAGUAAAUUAAAUAAUAUGAACUAUGAGAAGGUGCAGUUAAUAAUUUAGGGCAUCCGAUCCAGAAAAGAUUAAGAUCAGGCAAUUAUUUUUACAUGGAAUCCCCCAACAGGAUGCAAAAAAAAAAAGCAUACUUUUUUGGCAGAUGCUUUUAGUGGCCAUGGAUCCAAAUGAAAUGAAAUGAAAUGAAAUGCGUACACAAAGUGGCCGGCAAUUAUAUUCUUCAACUUCUCCCCAUUGCCUUCUUUCCAGUGCUACCAUUUUCUGGAUACAUUUUCUUACCAUUCUCUCUUUAUUCUUUAUCCAUUCUUGUUUACA
rnacentral:sRNA from 1 species